rnacentral:rRNA from 1 species
AGUCGAGGGGCAGCAUGAUUGAAGCUUGCUUCAAUUGAUGGCGACCGGCGCACGGGUGAGUAACGCGUAUCCAACCUUCCGUACACUCAGGGAUAGCCUUUCGAAAGAAAGAUUAAUACCCGAUGGUAUGAUGAGAUUGCAUGAUAGCAUCAUUAAAGAUUUAUCGGUGUACGAUGGGGAUGCGUUCCAUUAGGUAGUAGGCGGGGUAACGGCCCACCUAGCCAACGAUGGAUAGGGGUUCUGAGAGGAAGGUCCCCCACAUUGGAACUGAGACACGGUCCAAACUCCUACGGGAGGCAGCAGUGAGGAAUAUUGGUCAAUGGACGAGAGUCUGAACCAGCCAAGUAGCGUGAAGGAUGAAGGUCUUACGGAUUGUAAACUUCUUUUAUAAGAGAAUAAAACCUCCCACGUGUGGGAGCUUGUAUGUACCUUAUGAAUAAGCAUCGGCUAACUCCGUGCCAGCAGCCGCGGUAAUACGGAGGAUGCGAGCGUUAUCCGGAUUUAUUGGGUUUAAAGGGAGCGCAGACGGGUCGUUAAGUCAGCUGUGAAAGUUUGGGGCUCAACCUUAAAAUUGCAGUUGAUACUGGCGUCCUUGAGUGCGGUUGAGGUGUGCGGAAUUCGUGGUGUAGCGGUGAAAUGCUUAGAUAUCACGAAGAACUCCGAUUGCGAAGGCAGCACACUAAGCCGUAACUGACGUUCAUGCUCGAAAGUGUGGGUAUCAAACAGGAUUAGAUACCCUGGUAGUCCACACGGUAAACGAUGGAUACUCGCUGUUGGCGAUAUACAGUCAGCGGCUUAGCGAA